GCAUCCGUAGCUCAGCUGGAUAGAGCGCUGCCCUCCGAAGGCAGAGGUCAGGGGUUCGAAUCCCUUCGGAUGCA
rfam:Aureimonas sp. Leaf454 contig_8, whole genome shotgun sequence.